GAGUGUCCAAACAAUGAAUAGGGGAAGCGUGAGCAGCAGUGAAUGAGCGAAGACAUUGAAAUAUGUGGUUUGACAAUCUUGUAAAUUCAUUAGCUUCUGUUCGAUAGAGUCGUACCAUUUUCAUUUUGGCCACUAUUAUGUAUGUACGUGGCAUUGAUCCCAAUCCAGGAAAAUAUAGACAAUUAUUGGACAGAGACAUGGCAACGUUUCUUGGACGCAAUCAUCGUAAUUCGUGAAUUCACACAUCGCAUUCAUCGUUCUAAUUUGGUUUAUAUUCUUUUUUUUUUUUUUUUUAUAUCCCUUAUAUACUAAAACGCAAGUCGCCUAACGAAUUAAAAGCUGCCAUGUGGAAAAAAUUUAGAAAAAAAAAUUGCCAAGUGGAAAAGUUUUACAAUUUUUUAACAGCAUAAAUGCAAAAAAAAAAAAAUUAAUGCAAAAACAUUUUUGUCUCUUUAUCUUAACUGUUUAAUUUUUUUUUUAAUAUAUACUAAAAUCCCUAAGAUUUCUCAGCCAUGAACCCAUGAUUUUGUAACAGUUACUCUUUCUCUACAUAAACUCAAAAUGCCUAUAACGUAAACUGAUCUUUACUUCUUUCAGAAAAUUUUAACUCCUAAAUUCUUUGUAACAAAUUCUCUCUAAAAUAUGAUAGAUCGAAAACUUCUACCGUAACCACAAUAUCAAGUCUACCACUCGGGAUCCAUAUCAACAUAAUCUCUGGCCAAUAUGUGGCACAAGAAUAUUCUUCAAAAUCUUUUCAUGAAUUGAGAAAAGAAUCACAAGUUUUAUCCGUGCAUAGUAGGCUGAAGAACUCAAAGUCCUGGUCAGUAACUCUGGAAACACUCAAACUCUUCUAAUCUACUUAUUGCUUUCAUUUUCUUUGGGUUUAAUAGUUAUAAGCAAAAACUACAUAGUGGGUGAAAACCAAACAAGUCGAUAACAUUUUCAAACCGGAUUAGAUCAGUCCUGGAUUUUGUUAUUUUGUAUUGUGCUGAUAAUUCAGGGAGGGAAGGAGAGUAAGAGUGACUUACCUUAAAGCAAACGUACAAGGCCUUUAAAUUUUUGAGACAUGCCACAUCCGGAAACAAGUGUAUUCUUAUUUAUUUUUGGAUAAUGUCUCUUAUGUUACUCAACUUACUUUUUGAAACUUUUUUUGUAGCUUUGAAUAAAUUUUUAUCGUGGCUAACAAAUAGUGAUGUGAUGCCUCUUUUAAAAGUGUGGAAAGAAAACAAAAAGAAAUUAGCACUUUUUGCUAAAAAAACCUAGCACUUUUUUGGUAAAAUUGGGUAUGUUUAUAAUUUCACAAAUUUUUUUAUAAAGAGUAUUAGAGUGUAUUCCUUUUAAUUUAUAAAUAGUAUUAGAGUAUAUUCUACUAUGGUGUUACCGACAAAAUUGGGUAUUGUUUAUAAUUUCACAAAAAGAAAUUUAUAAUAGAUCAUAUUCAAGUAUUUUACGCUUUUUUUUUUGUUAAAUAAAAAUUUGACUAUUUUAUUCAUGUUUAAUAUUAUUUUUUAUUGUUUAUUAUACUAAUCAUUAAGAAAUUAUAUUUUUGAAAAGUCUUAUUAAAUAAAAAUAUGAAUAAUACUGAAUAGAUUAAAUAUAAUAUUUUAAAUAUAAUAAAAAUUUGACUUCGUGCAUAGCACGGGAUGAUAUACUAGCAUGUAAUAAUUAAAGAAUUUUAAAACCUUUUUUAGUGGGAGGAGGGGUCUCUUGUCUAGACAUGCACCGUACAUGAUAUGGUCCAAAUUUGAAAUAUUUAUUACACGACAACUAUAAUGACUAUGGACUGAAAGUGUCGUUGGGGCAAUCGAAUUUAGACUCUUUCUAUUUCUUUGAUAAUUUAUUUUAUUUUUAAUAGCGAAGUAUGAUUCUUCUUAUUUUAAUAUUUUGUGGGGUUGGAAAGAUAAAAGAUACUGCCAAACCGUAAGAGUAUAUAUAUAGAUGUACAGCUUUUAUAAUUUUUCAAUUUAUAUCGACAUUCUGCAAAUCUAUCAAAAUAGAGUUAGGUACUUCAAACUCAAGUAACUGACUUUGAGAAUUUAGUAACCAACCUACGGUGCAACUUAAAAGAAAAUUAAAAGAAAUUUGGAAUAUAUAUAUAUAUAUAUUUAACUUAAGCUUUCAAUUAAAUUUGGAAUAUUUACAUAUAUAACAAUCUAUGAUUUGAAUUAUAUCAUCGUGUGGAUUAUUUCAUCUUUUUACACGAUGAAAUAUUUCAACUUUAAAGAGAAUUUUAUUUGUAAAUAUCCCAAAUUUGGAAUAAAGUAGAAUAUCUUCCCGUUGAAUUAUUUCAUCUUUUUACAACUUUUAUUCUCGGAUUCCAUCGAAGUCGUAAAAUAGAAAAUCAAGAAUAAAUUCCCAUUUACAAAAAACUGUACUUAUAAAAAUAAAAGAAUUAAACAGCUAAAGUUUCUAGAAAACAAAAUACGAAUUUAAUAAUAGCACUAAAAGAAGAGAAAAAAAAGUUAUGAAGACAUGUUAACAUGUACACUAGCGUUCAUGACCGAAUCACAAACCGGACAAGUUCGUAACAAAGCCGAACCACAGACCGUACACAAACACAAAUGACGACAAGGUAACACCAGCACACUCGCUUCUCUCUCACCGCACCGCUUGCAACCGCCACUAACCGCUGUAAUAGCUUCACCACCUUCAACGCAACUUCCGCAGCUCGACUCCACGUCGUUUUCUACAGCGGUUGGUAGCGUUUUGAUUUGAGCAAGAACUUGGUCGAGGUUUGUUCGAAGAUUGUUAGCUUGUGCCUCGUUGGUCUGAGCUAUAUCUCGCCAUAUUUGAUUUUCAACAAAAAUACUCUUUACCCGCUCGUGUAACACGCAGUUAAGGUUUCUCAUCCGUAAAAUUUCGUCGUCUUUCUCUUUUAACUUCAUGGCUAACGCGUUUUGAACGGCAGACGCUAGCAUCUGCGUUUGAGUUUGCUGACGAGCUUCGAUUUCUAUUCUAAGCUUCUCCGUUUGCUGAGCUACGAACCGAUCAAUCUCUAACUGUUGUUGUUUUUGGAUGUGUGACACGAGUUCAGCGUUUAUCAACGAUGAUGGUGAACCAAACGGCCCGGACCCCAGUUUAACCGCAGACGCAAAGUGAGCGUCUGAGUCAAGGUAUUGAGAA
rnacentral:lncRNA from 1 species